rnacentral:rRNA from 1 species
CGUGCCAGCAGCCGCGGUAAUACGUAGGGUGCGAGCGUUAAUCGGAAUUACUGGGCGUAAAGCGUGCGCAGGCGGCUUUGCAAGACAGAGGUGAAAUCCCCGGGCUCAACCUGGGAGCUGCCUUUGUGACUGCAAGGCUAGAGUACGGCAGAGAGGGAUGGAAUUCCGCGUGUAGCAGUGAAAUGCGUAGAGAUGUGGAGGAAUACCGAUGGCGAAGGCAGCCCCCUUGGAUAACACUGACGCUCAUGCACGAAAGCGUGGGGAGCAAACAGGAUUAGAUACCCUGGUAGUCCACGCCGUAAACGAUG